rnacentral:rRNA from 1 species
CCCUUAGAUGUUCUGGGCCACACGCGCGUUACACUGAUGAAGCCAGCGAGUAUAUCGCCUUCACCGGAAGGUGCGGGUAAUCUUGUGAAACUUCAUCGUGCUGGGGAUAGACCAUUGCAAUUAUUGGUCUUGAACGAGGAAUUCCUAGUAAGCAUGAGUCAUCAACUCGUGCUGAUUACGUCCCUGCCCUUUGUACACACCGCCCGUCGCUACUACCGAUUGAAUGGUUUAGUGAGAUCUCUGGAUUGACGCUGGCUAGGGGGCGACCCUUGGCCAGGCUGUCGAGAAACUGCUCAAACUUGAUCAUUUAGAGGAAGUAAAAGUCGUAACA